rnacentral:rRNA from 1 species
AGAGUUUGAUCCUGGCUCAGGAUGAACGCUAGCGGCAGGCCUAACACAUGCAAGUCGAGGGGCAGCAUUACUUUUCGGAGUAGAUGGCGACCGGCGCACGGGUGCGUAACGCGUAUGCAACCUACCUUUUACAGAGGGAUAGCCCGGAGAAAUCCGGAUUAAUACCUUAUGGCACUAUGGAGUGGCAUCACUUUAUAGUUAAAGAUUUAUUGGUAAAAGAUGGGCAUGCGUGACAUUAGUUAGUUGGUGAGGUAACGGCUCACCAAGACGACGAUGUCUAGGGGUUCUGAGAGGAUGAUCCCCCACACUGGUACUGAGACACGGACCAGACUCCUACGGGAGGCAGCAGUGGGGAAUAUUGCACAAUGGGCGCAAGCCUGAUGCAGCCAUGCCGCGUGUAUGAAGAAGGCCUUCGGGUUGUAAAGUACUUUCAGCGGGGAGGAAGGUGUUGAGGUUAAUAACCUCAGCAAUUGACGUUACCCGCAGAAGAAGCACCGGCUAACUCCGUGCCAGCAGCCGCGGUAAUACGGAGGGUGCAAGCGUUAAUCGGAAUUACUGGGCGUAAAGCGCACGCAGGCGGUCUGUCAAGUCGGAUGUGAAAUCCCCGGGCUCAACCUGGGAACUGCAUUCGAAACUGGCAGGCUGGAGUCUUGUAGAGGGGGGUAGAAUUCCAGGUGUAGCGGUGAAAUGCGUAGAUAUCUGGAGGAACACCGGUGGCGAAGGCGACCCCCUGGUCCGAUACUGACGCUGAGACGCGAAAGCGUGGGUAGCAAACAGGAUUAGAUACCCUGGUAGUCCACGCCGUAAACGAUGGGCACUAGGUGUCUGGGGUAUUGACCCCCUGGGUGCCGCAGCUAACGCAUUAAGUGCCCCGCCUGGGGAGUACGAUCGCAAGGUUAAAACUCAAAGGAAUUGACGGGGGCCCCGCACAAGCGGU